rnacentral:rRNA from 1 species
GAUGAACGCUGGCAGCGUGCCUAAUACAUGCAAGUCGAGCGAACGGACGAGAAGCUUGCUUCUCUGAUGUUAGCGGCGGACGGGUGAGUAACACGUGGAUAACCUACCUAUAAGACUGGGAUAACUUCGGGAAGCCGGAGCUAAUACCGGAUAAUAUUUUGAACCGCAUGGUUCAAAAGUGAAAGACGGUCUUGCUGUCACUUAUAGAUGGAUCCGCGCUGCAUUAGCUAGUUGGUAAGGUAACGGCUUACCAAGGCAACGAUGCAUAGCCGACCUGAGAGGGUGAUCGGCCACACUGGAACUGAGACACGGUCCAGACUCCUACGGGAGGCAGCAGUAGGGAAUCUUCCGCAAUGGGCGAAAGCCUGACGGAGCAACGCCGCGUGAGUGAUGAAGGUCUUCGGAUCGUAAAACUCUGUUAUUAGGGAAGAACAUAUGUGUAAGUAACUGUGCACAUCUUGACGGUACCUAAUCAGAAAGCCACGGCUAACUACGUG